rnacentral:rRNA from 1 species
CAGCCGCCGCGGUAAUACGAAGGGUGCAAGCGUUAAUCGGAAUUACUGGGCGUAAAGCGUGUGUAGGUGGUUGUUUAAGUCUGUCGUGAAAGCCCUGGGCUCAACCUGGGAAUUGCGAUGGAUACUGGGCGACUAGAGUGCGGUAGAGGAUAGUGGAAUUUCCGGUGUAGCAGUGAAAUGCGUGGAGAUCGGAAGGAACAUCUGUGGCGAAGGCGACUAUCUGGGCCAACACUGACACUGAGACACGAAAGCGUGGGGAGCAAACAGGAUUAGAUACCCCUGUAGUCCCUGUCUCUUAUAC